GGGGGCAUGGGCCCAGGGGGGUACAGCAUUCGACUGCAGAUCGAGAGGUCCCCGGUUGAAACCCGGAUGCUCCCU
rnacentral:tRNA from 1 species